CCUCCUUUCUAAGGAAAGUAUAAGAUAUAAAUUGCCGCCGUCUUUGAAUCUCUUCUUCUUAAACUUAAUUUUUAUAGGUUUGCUACAGCUAUAGGCGCGUAGCUCAGCUGGUUAGAGCGCACGACUGAUAAUCGUGAGGUCGGCAGUUCAAAUCUGCCCGUGCCUACCACUGCUUAUACAAAGAUUAUUUUGAGAUAAUAUUAAUAAAGUAGAGAAAAUUUUUUGACAUUAGUGUCAAUCUGUUUGAAAUAGUUGGUGAAGAUGAUCCCAAAUAAUAGGGCAAUAUAAUAAGUGUUGUAUUGUCCAGCUUACGGAUUGUACUUAGUAUUAUAUACCUCAAGAUUAUAUAAUACUAGAAUAGUGAUGGUUGUCUGACCGGUUACUAUUUUCAUGUACGGUCCGAUCAAGCGUCUUGAAGAGCAUUUGGUGGAUGCCUUGGUACAGAGAGGCGAUGAAGGACGUGACACGCUGCGAUAAGCUGUGGGGAGCCGUGAGUAGGCUUUGAUCCGCAGAUUUCCGAAUGGGGAAACCAAGGGCGAAUCCAGCA
rnacentral:misc_RNA from 1 species